UUUUUGGGGCCCUUGCAAAAAUUACAAACAAUUUAUGAUACUAUGGCUCAUGUUGCUAUAUUUUCUAAAUUGGAAAAGUAGCAAAUUUAAUUGAUAGAUUUAAAAUUUUAUUGUAUUUUGUAAAUAUUUUUAAAAAUAUUUUUUAUACAAUAAAUUUUAAUGUCCAUUUUAUAAAAAUAAAAACAACUGUAAUCUAACCAAAAAAAAAUACAUUGUUGACCAAUUUUAUUUCAGUUAAAACAAAAAUAAAAAAAGAAUAAUAUUUAUAUAUGUAUGGAAAGUAAAGAGUUAAGAAAAGUAGAGGUUGAUGUCCUAAUCAUGGAAUCCAUGAUUCCAUGUUUUAGGAAAGCAUCAAAAACUCUAGUUGAGAUUACUUUUUUAAAGAUAUUAUAUGAUGCUUGAAGAUUAAUCUUCGGAUGUCUUACAUUAUAUCUGUGGGGAUGAAAAAGUAAAAUAAUAUGAGUUUUCCUUUAGCUAUUUCCUUAUUUAAACAACUAGUAAAAUAGCUAAGGGAACAAUAAAAGAAAAUAACACAUAAACUUUGUUAAUCUAGUUCGAUGGC
rnacentral:lncRNA from 1 species